GUAGGUGAACCUGCGGAAGGAUCAUUAACUAUACAAGGCCAAGGGGCAAGCUUUCCGAAAGGAUCGAGCUUGCUCUCUGAACCCUACCCUUGCUUUUUGAGUACCCUUGUUUCCUCGGUGGGCUUGCCCGCCAUGAGGACAUUAAGAACCCUUUGUAGUAGCAGUAACUUCAGUUAACAAUAAAUAUUAAAACUUUCAACAACGGAUCUCUUGGUUCUG
rnacentral:misc_RNA from 1 species